rnacentral:sRNA from 1 species
UCCCCGACACAAUGGAGUGAGCGAAGGAGACGAGCAGGUUGUGCCAGCGCCAGGUGCGCAAGGGGUCGGCGCGCACGUGCACGGGAUUGUGCACCUGUGCCUGCGAAAGGCUGACCAGAAGCUGGUGAUCAUCAAGCAGAUUCCAGUGGAACAGAUGACCAAGGAAGAGCGGCAGGCAGCCCAGAAUGAGUGCCAGGUCCUCAAGCUGCUCAACCACCCCAAUGUCAUUGAGUACUACGAGAACUUCCUAGAAGACAAAGCCCUCAUGAUCGCCAUGGAAUAUGCACCAGGCGGCACUCUGGCUGAGUUCAUCCAAAAGCGCUGUAAUUCCCUGCUGGAGGAGGAGACCAUCCUGCACUUCUUCGUGCAGAUCCUGCUUGCACUGCAUCAUGUGCACACCCACCUCAUCCUGCACCGAGACCUCAAGACCCAGAACAUCCUGCUUGACAAACAUCGCAUGGUCGUCAAGAUUGGUGAUUUCGGCAUCUCCAAGAUCCUUAGCAGCAAGAGCAAGGCCUACACGGUGCCUGGGCAUGGAGGGGACCUCCAGGGUGCUAGAAGUCUUGAGGCCCAGGACCUAACCCUGCCUCCUCCCCUCCCCCUAAAAAACCCUUGGCCCUUUAGCCCCUGUUUGCAUGGUUCUGCAGGAGGAAGCCCCUUGGCUUGCUUUGAGAAGAAGCUGUCCGCAAAUAGGCUUUUGCGCAGAGCCCCGGUCUUCCCUCCCUGCAGGGCUGUGAUCCCAGCUUCUCUCCUGCAGGUGGUGGGUACCCCAUGCUAUAUCUCCCCUGAGCUGUGUGAGGGCAAGCCCUACAACCAGAAGAGUGACA